rnacentral:rRNA from 1 species
CCCCUAGAUGUUCUGGGCCGCACGCGCGCUACACUGAACAGUUCAACAAGUCUUAACCUUGGCCGGUAGGUCUGGGUAAUCUUUGAACGCUGUUCGUGAUUGGGAUAGACCUUUGCAAUUAUGGGUCUUCAACGAGGAAUUCCUAGUAAACGCAAGUCAUCAGCUUGCAUUGAUUACGUCCCUGCCCUUUGUACACACCGCCCGUCGCACCUACCGAUUGAAUGGUCCGGUGAAAUCUCGGGACGGCGGCUUGGUCGCUUGCGUCCGACUGCUGAAACUUGAUUAAACCAUAUCAUUUAGAGGAAGGUGAANUCGUAACA